ACUUAGUAGAGGGUGGUGCUUCCAACCAGGCGGAAUCUAGGAGCCUCACGUUGAAAGGGCCCAGGGCAGACGCAAGCGCGCCUGUCUUCUGCGCCCACCAGAGGGCAGCAGGGAGCCGCGCCAGACCUAGGCCACCACUCGGGUGGCCGUGCACCCUUCAGAAGACCCCUGUCCACGUGAGGGGCGGGUCUGCCACUGACCCGCCGGAAACCCCUUCUCCCCCAGGUGUCUGUUCCUGUCAAAGAUGAGGACCCGGGCCCAGAGCCCAGCCUUGACUUGUGAGGACGACACGGGAGCCAUGGGUACACUGGCCGCAGGACCCUGCUAAAGACGCCCGGCGUGGACAUGUCGGAGCCGCGCUAUUACCGGGCCGCGAACCCGGCCUCGCCCCCGCACGCGCUCGGCCGCCUGGUAGCCAAGGAGGCGACGUGACCACACGGCACGGCCGGCACAGCUGUCCCUCCAGCCCGCCCUAGGGAGGUGGGGUGCGGAAGCGGAUCUUCUUGGCCGUCUCCACGUCAGAUUUGGCAACCAGAAAGCGCAUCUUCUUUCCUCCGUGUCGGAUCAGGUCCACAGCCCUGAAAGCCGGCCAGGGGAGACGCGUGGUGUGGCCGACCCACCACGGGUCCAGCCGCGGGGUGCGUGGGGCUCCCGGGGUGCCUGGGUUGGGGACCCCCCCCCCCCCCCGCGGCCCCGAGGGGCCCCGCUGGGGCUGCCGUGUUGUCAGAGGUCGAAGAGUGGGCUGGGGGCCGAGCCCGCGUGCUCUCUCGUCUAAGAUGGGGGCCGGGGCUAAGGGGCCCGGGCUCCCCUAACGGCUGGGCGGUCCGGUCCGGGCCCGAGGGCGGGCGUACCUCAGGUAGCCGACGCCCAUCAGGCUGCUGCCGUUCACCUCGAGGAUGCGGUCGCCCAGGGCCAGCCGGCCGUCCGCUGCCGCGGGGCUGCCCGGGAGCAGCGUCUGGAUGUAGAGCCCGGGGGCGCCCAGCGGCGUGUGCUGUGGGCCAAGUAGCAGUUCAGGGCUGGGCGGGCCCCGGUGGGGGGGGGGGGAGGGUCGUUCUCGUGGGCUCCGGCGUUUCCGCACCGGCAACACCGGACAGCACCCACCCCCACCCAGACCCGGUACCCUGAGGACAGAGGGGACACGGCCGGCCGGGGAAGCGGCUGCCGCACGGGCCCUUCUCUCAAGCGCCACCGAGCUGCCCCACCGAGCCCGGUCCCGAGCCCGCGGCCGUUCCUGCCCUGCCCACCCGUGGUCUCCCAGUGACCGCGCGAGCCGUGGGCCUGCGUGGGGCGGUCCUGAGCAGGAGGAGCCCAGGGGGCCGCUCACCAUCCCGUCGAUCAGGCCCAUCCCCAGGCCCGAGGGACCCCGCUCCAGCUCUACCGCGAACACGUAGCAGAAGUCCUCGGCGCUGGAGCUGCGGCUGGAGAGGGCUGGCGGGGGCUCGGCCGCCGGAGCCACGCCGUCUCCUGGGCAGGUCAGAUCAGGCCUUCAGGCAGAGCGUGUGGCUGCAGUCCCCUCACCAGCAAGCAGGUGCCCUGCCUCAGGCCCGGAUCUGCCCAGGUGACCCCUGGCCUUGGGGCACACCCAGAGUCUGCAGGAGCACUGCCGGGGGCGGCACUGCCGGGGGCUGCUCUGCCCUGCACUUCAUGGCCCUCCCCCCAGCCUCCUACCUGGUGCACACCACCUGAGCCGUCCCUUCCUCCACCCUGGGGGGAGGGACUUCGUCCCACAGGCGGCUGUGCGUGCACCCUGUGCCCUUCGACGGGGGCCUGAACCACCCUGCGCCCGCUUCACGUGGCCCCUAGAGCCUGCCCAGCACGGGCUACGGGCGUUCGUGGGCAGGUACCAGAAGCCCAGGCCCAACGUGCCCCUAGGGCCGCAUGGUUACGGUGACCCAAAGGGGCCCCGCCCAG